rnacentral:rRNA from 1 species
UACGUAGGGGGCUAGCGUUGUUCGGAAUUACUGGGCGUAAAGCGCACGUAGGCGGCUUUGUAAGUUAGAGGUGAAAGCCCGGGGCUCAACCCCCGGAAUUGCCUUUGAGACUGCAUCGCUAGAAUUGUGGAGAGGUAAGUGGAAUUCCGAGUGUAGAGGUGAAAUUCGUAGAUAUUCGCAAGAACACCAGUGGCGAAGGCGGCUUACUGGUCCGGUUCUGACGCGUGAG